AAGUCGUAACAAGGUAACCGUAGGUGAACCUGCGGUUGGAUCAUUAAUAAAAUGUUUCUUAACCGGGAGUUGGUUCUUUUACUAGGACCUUCUCUCAACACACCACUGUUGAACUGUUCUGAAGGCCACGAUGUUGCAAGACAGAGUGGUUCUCCAAUCCAACUCAUACAACUAAAGACCCUUUAAAAGGACUUUUUGACUAGCGCUUAUGCACUAGGAAAUUUGACUAUAUAAAGAAAAACAACUUUUGACAACGGAUCUCUUGGCUCUC
rnacentral:misc_RNA from 1 species